CGAAAGCCUGACGGAGCAAUACCGCGUGAGGGAGGAAGGCUCUUGGGUUGUAAACCUCAAAACUUAGGGAAGAAAAAAAUGACGGUACCUAAUAUAAGCAUCGGCUAACUCCGUGCCAGCAGCCGCGGUAAUACGGAGGAUGCGAGCGUUAUCCGGAAUCAUUGGGCGUAAAGAGUCUGUAGGUGGCACUUCAAGUCUGCUGUCAAAGACCGAAGCUUAACUUCGGGCAGGCGGUGGAAACUGAAGAGCUAGAGUUCGGGAGGGGUAGAGGGAAUUCCCAGUGUAGCGGUGAAAUGCGUAGAGAUUGGGAAGAACACCAGUGGCGAAGGCGCUCUACUGGACCGAAACUGACACUGAGGGACGAAAGCUAAGGUAGCG
rnacentral:rRNA from 1 species